UCCCUCACCCGCCCGCCGCUGGCGGCCACCCGCAACUUCGGCAAUGGCGACCCCGCGGCGGCCCGGCCUCCCUCCCCCCCCCCGCCGCCGCCGCCGCCACAGGCGCCUCCCCGGCAGGCGACGGCGGCCUCCUGGGGUGUCACGGGGCCGGACCGCGGGGGUCCUGCGGCAGCACCCCCCUCCCUACCCCGCCGGGGUCCCGCCGCAGCGGGCGCGGGGUUCAAAACUGCCUCUCUUUCAGUUCCUCACUCAGGUCUUCUCGGCAGGGUGAGCCCCGUUACUGAGGACACCGGUUAGAAACCGAGAGGGUUCCCCUGGCCUGUAGUCUGCACCCACCGGUGAAGGACAUUUUCCCUUCUGUGUUGAAUCUUUUCUGUUCCUUAAGCUAGAGAAGAUGCUUCCCGAGCAGAUACCAAGGGGUCAUCAGCAACUCCUGCAUCAUUUUUGUGGCUGGCUGUGCUUCUCAGGGACACACAGUGGAAACAGCUACACAACCAGAGGAGACGGAGGAAUGAAACAGACAGUAAACUCUCCACGAACAGCAAUGCCUUCCAUGGAAAGGGCAACGGAUUUCUGAGUUACCGCACAAAAGAUGCCGGCACAGAUGCUGAUGGCCCUUCUGGGGAGAAACCUGCGGCCAUGGAGCGCGACUCCUUUGUUUCUCUGCUAGUGACCAAGCGCCAGCUUGCCAGGACGACUCCCAGCCCAGGUCAGAAUUUUGCAGCGCCGAUUUACCUUUGAGCACGUGUCUGAAAUAAUCUUUUUCCCCGCAACAAUUGUUUCCUAGAGUAUAUUCCCAAGGGAU